AGAUUUCCUUGCUUAAAUCUAUUGAAAAUACUACCCAAAUGAAGUUCCUUGAUGCUUCUAGAUCAUCUCAGUUAAGAAUUGACUGAUGAAUGGAGGGAAGGCCUGAGCUGCUGAAUACACAAAUGCCUGACUCACACAACAGGAUUUCCUUUUUUUUUUUCUCUUACCAAAACAUUGCUUGCAACAACAGCUGGAUCAUCACACACUGAUUCAAUGAAGAACACCUGAAAAAUUAUGAUGACAAUAUUUUAGAAAUGUAGCCAAUCAGGCACUUCAAACAAAUAUAGUACAGUUAAGUUUCCAACCUGUAAAUAUGUGCAAAACAGACAAUGUCAAUAUCUCCACCAUUGCAGUUUAUAUCUGCAAUCUGCUCAUACUCACCUUAAACUCAUUUUCUUUGGCAAAGUCAACAACUAUAGAUCUUCUCUCUCUUGUUGUAUUGGUAGCAUCAAAGACCUGUAAUACAAUGUCUAGAUAAAACAUUCCAUUUCAAGAAACCUAGGUGGAAUAGGAAACGCAAGGCAAAAAAAGACUAACUUACAGCAAUCUGUCCACCUUCCUUAGUGAGGUAGGAUUUGACAUCUGCUAAGGCAGCUAAGGCACAAUGUCUGGAAAAGAAAAAAGACCAAAGAACAUUUACGGACACAUGCAAUAGACAGAAGGACACAGCCUUAAAAACAUUACACAGAGAAGCAGGAGGAGGUCUGUGUUCUAUUAGUGUGCACAUAGCUCCAAAAGAUUAUAACUAGCUCAGAUGAAAAUAUCUCCUAUAGGACAAGCCACAAACUUUAGGAACAAGUGUAAAAUCAUGAGCAUGUGAGAGUGAAGUCAGCAGUACAAUGUAAUAUAAUGUCUCAAACCAGCAAUAUAUCAGCAGCCCAAUGGCCAUGUAGACAUGGUUUAAAGGGAAGACUUAAAUUACAUGAUAUAUAAGAUGUUUGUACUAUUUUUCAUUGCUGUCACAUCUACUGCAGCUGUAAUAUGGAUGCUGGGAGUAUAUUAACAAAAGAAUAUAUGUUACUGGACAGGACAAGAAUUUACAGUUUCCACCAUCCCAUCAUUCUCUAACUGUAUACUUCUCUGACAUAGUUUAGUUUAUCAGUGAAACAAAUAUUGCUAGAUACAAACCUUCUGAUUUUCAUAGCUUCUUUAUUGUCUGAACGGAAAAAGUCAUGGGAGCUGAAAUCUUUCACGGCUUCACGUCUGUAUUCACCCACGUUAAACACUACAAAAAAAAAAACAAAAAACA